UUACGGUCACAUCAGGUUGAAACAUUGUUUCCCAUACGAUCGCCGAAGUUAAGCAACGUCAAGCCUGAUCAGUAUCUAGAUGGAUGACAACUUGGGAAUACAAGCCGUUGUAAG